UACACUCCUACGGGAGGCAGCAGUGGGGAAUUUUGGACAAUGGGCGAAAGCCUGAUCCAGCAAUGCCGCGUGCAGGAUGAAGGCCUUCGGGUUGUAAACUGCUUUUGUACGGAACGAAAAAGCUCCUUCUAAUACAGGGGGCCCAUGACGGUACCGUAAGAAUAAGCACCGGCUAACUACGUGCCAGCAGCCGCGGUAAUACGUAGGGUGCGAGCGUUAAUCGGAAUUACUGGGCGUAAAGCGUGCGCAGGCGGUUAUGUAAGACAGAUGUGAAAUCCCCGGGCUCAACCUGGGAACUGCAUUUGUGACUGCAUGGCUAGAGUACGGUAGAGGGGGAUGGAAUUCCGCGUGUAGCAGUGAAAUGCGUAGAUAUGCGGAGGAACACCGAUGGCGAAGGCAAUCCCCUGGACCUGUACUGACGCUCAUGCACGAAAGCGUGGGGAGCAAACAGGAUUAGAUACCCCGGUAGUCCCAUGAU
rnacentral:rRNA from 1 species